rnacentral:rRNA from 1 species
GCGAAACGGAAAAGGGCGCACGGUGGAUGCCUGGGCUUCCGGAGGCGAUGAAGGACGCG